CCAGAGAGAUAAAUGUAUGAAUUUAACUUCUAUAUUUACCAACUAUAGGAUGCUGGACAAGCAAUUUUGUGUUGUUGCUGAUGAUUGGCUUGCUGUAGAAUAAGAAUAAAUACAUUCACCUCAUUGAGUUGCUGUGAGUGCUAGAGGAGAAAACAUGUUCAAACAUCUGAUAUUGGGUGUGUCACAGAGUUUUUAGUUGCCAGCAAUAGUGAAUAAAACUUUUUACUUGCCUUGGCCAUGGCUGGCCUAUAAGCUAAGGGACAA
rnacentral:lncRNA from 1 species